AGUAACAGCCAUUCUAACUGGUGUAAGAUGGUAUCUCAUUGCGGUUUUGAUUAACAACAGACAUUUCUAAUCUCACAGUUGAUGUGGGUCAGGAGCUCAGAAGCAGCUUAACUGGAUGGCUCUGACUCAGCGUCUCUCAUGAGGUGGUCGAGGUGGAGGCUGGGGCUGCAGUCAUCCGAAGAUUUGACUGGUGCAGGAAGAUCUGCUUCCAAGGUGACUCAUAUGUGUGGCUGUUGGCAGGAGGCUUCAGUCCUUGCCAUGUGAGCCUCUCUUCACAUCAUAACUGGCUUCUUCAAGAAUGAAUGAUCCAAGAGAAAGAAAGAAAGAGAAGCUGCAGUGUCUUUUAUAACCUAACCUUGGAAGUGACAUACCAUCAUUCCUGCAUAUUCUAUUGGUUACACAGACCAACCCCAGUACAGCGUGGGAGCAGACUACACAGUUUGAGAAGAUGGCGGCCUGAACCGGAGUCCUUCUUCCCCUCCUCCCUCUCCGCUGCUGCAAUGCCCAGGCCCCCCGCAACGUUCCUCGUCUGUAAUGGUGCCAGAGGCUUUAAAUCUUGCAGAAGCCACAUCUGCUGCCUGCAGUCUCCGGUAUGUCAUUAUCAGCAGUGUGAAAAUGGACUCACUCCCACCCUGUCUGGAUCUGGACAAGAGCCCACCACCCCGUUGGCAGUAGUCAGGCAGCUCUGCUUCUAAGAACCUGCAGCUUUUGGAAGAAAGGCACCCUGUGGUUUCAGAAGCCCAAGAGUCCCUGCAGCUCAGCACCCCCAGCCUGGUGCUUGGCAGAUGACUGCCUCCUCACUUAGCAGAGGGAGCAGAAAACUGUGUAUUCUUCAGAACAUCAUGAUAACCUGGCACUCAUGGGUCUAUGGAGAGAAUUCAGGGGGUCUGGGAGCUUGGAUGGAAUAAAUUUGCAUCUUUAUUUUCAGGAAAGUUUUACUGAAGUUUAGCAUUUUCUUUCAUUAUAAAUGGAAUCAGUAUAACCCAAUAGUAUGAGCAGUUACUUCUCCGCAACAUCAAAGUGGCUGCAGAUAUCUCAAAAUAGUAUUUACAUUUAUCAUAACUUAGAAAUUUGGGUGGUAAUUAAACCAGCAACUAUUCUUUGUUUAAUGCAUUAAGAAAGAAGUAUGUAUACUAUCAUAUCUCAAUUAAAAAUAUUUUAAGAACUGGA
ensembl:lncRNA novel transcript